UGUGACUUGCAACAGCCUCAACAGGAAUGCAGACAGUUGCAUAGGAACUGCUGCCCUGAGGGCCUGGGGCAAGAACAGCCGUCCUAGACUUACCCUAGAUGACACCGAGAGGCUUGAUUUUCUAGACAAAAGCACACUGUGAGGCCUCUCUCUCGGUUAUCUGAGUGUUGAAGGAAGACUCCUAAACGAAACGGUCUCUGGGAGGCCUUGACAGGACAGACUGGCUAGCGACCAGUGUUGGCUUCCCGUUAGGAGCUCAUUCUCUACGGGGGAAAUCUGGUCUAAAAUAGUCAAGAGAAUGGAGUAAAAUUCCAGGUCACUCAUCCAGCUCUGCUUGUGCAGUGGUGGAAUGUGGUAGAACGCUCGGAUUUAUUUUAGAGAGAGAGAGAGAGCGAGAGAGCGAGAGGAACAGAGGGAGAGGGAAAGAGAAUCUCAAGCAGACUCCAUCGUGGAGCCCAGCGCAACGACUCCGAGAUCACGACCUGAGCUGAAACCAAGAGUCAGACGCUUAACCAACCACGCCACCCAGGCGCCCCGAAAACCUCCUACAGCCGGCUUGACGAAGCUUGCUACACUCGGCUACUCUGGCUGGGGAAGAGUGUUUUGCUUUGUGACCGUACCUUCAGUGUUUUACCCCGAAAUCAGAAUGUUGCCCAAUUCAGAGAAAGAAUCACGGAGCCCGAUCAUUGCUGCCCACUGGUUCAACAACCUAAUCUUUUCCAUGGUUGUGUAUCGGACUUGGUUUUGAAUCCUUCAGCAUCCUAGUUCAUCUGAUGACAGUAAACUCCUAGGACUAUGCAUCACACUUCUAGAAUCUUGAGAGAGUAAAGCCAAGCGCCAGAAGAUAUACAUGUAUAAGCACAUACUUGCUAGCAGAAGGAGAAAGACAGCAAUAUUGAAGAAUAAAAGUUCCAUUGUUCUGUUGCCUCUAAAGGAAAACUUGUCCUAACUUUCCGAUAAGCUUAAUAAUCCAGGGCUCCUACAACAUGGCGAUUCAAAUACAUUGAAGGUGAAGAGCUAAUAAGUUUUUAAAUGAACAUGGAUAAUUUUCAAAAGAUGAUAAACUGCAUCUGAAAUAGUUUUACAUUUGGAAAGUGGAGACUUUUGAAGAUUAUAGAGUCUGCCUAUGCUAGCAAAAUGGAAAGAAUUGUAGAAGUGAUCCAGAGAAUUCGGGGAGUCUCAAAAUUCAUAAAGAAAGAAGGAUGAAAGACUUCUCUUGAAAGGAUGGGGAUUUGACAGUGUCCCUGACUUGGAUAUCAGUUGUCAUUUCUGCAGGUGAGCAGGAAAAACAUGUGAGUGGGGAGAACACACGAAAUAACUAAGGUGAUAAACAUCGAAUCGAAAUGAGAUGUAUUUAUGUUGUUUUGAAGACUGGAAUGAGUCUCUCGUCAGCAUGUACUAUGAAAGCCACUCCAUCCUUCUCUUUCCCCCCUGCCCCUCAGCUCCCUGCUUAAUGGACUCUCUAUUCUCAAUUAACUUGCCAUCUCUUUGCCAAUUCCUCUUCGUUCUCUUUUGCAGGCCGCUCUUUCCCUCCUUGACCUUUAACCGUUGACCUCUAAUUCAGUCCUGAGCUUUCUUUUCUUUUUCUCCUGUUACCCACUUCUGGAUGAUCUCCUCAGUUUCUAUGCCUUCAAAUUCUCUCUCUGGGCCCCAAAUACCAAAUUGACCCCCUAGCACCUGCCCUCUGAGUUGUGGCUUGCAGACGUUGGCCCGUCACCUCCUCUCCGGUGUCUGCCAGCAUGUUGUGUGCAGCAAGCCUGUUCAAAGCUACACCCUUGACGUGGUCCACCACCCACAGCUCCCCAGACUUCUCCACUUCAGUGGCUAGUAUCACAUCCACCUGUUCUAGCUGCUUGAUAGCAACACAACACUUCUAUCACUUCUUUUUUAAAAAAAUUUAUUUAUUUUAGAGUGUGGGCAAAAGUGUGGGGAGGGGCAGUGGGGGAGAGAGAGAAUCUCAAACAGACUCCCUGCUGUGCACAGAGCCCCACAUGGGGCUCGAUCCCACAACCCAUGAGAUCAUGACUUGAGCUGAAACCAAGAGUCAGCCGCUUAACUGGCUGAGCCACCCAGGUGCCCCUCUCUGUCACUUCUGUGUGGAAAAACCUGUCAGAUUCUUCCACUGUUCAUUUCCCCCACUGGCCCCCUAGGGUAAGCCACCAUCUCACACAGACGAUUUUGUUGGCUUCCCUGAUAGCUACUGACAGUCCGGUAACCAGUCUCUCCAACAACAGCAACAACAACAGCGUAAUUUUUAUGUCCUAAAUUGUUACCAGCUUCCUCUCCUUAGAAUUAACAGGCAGAUUCUACCCUAUUGCAAAAUGGCCACUCUGUGUUGCUGCAAGGUUGACCUAACCUAUGAACACACCCCUUUCCUAUUAAAACCCUUUCAAUGGCUUCCUUUUGCAUAAGAAUAAAAUCUAAACUCCUUACAAUGGUGUUAUAGACUGAAUGUUGGUGCCAUCCCCCCCCCAAUUCAUAUGAUGAAAUCCUAACCCCCAAUGAAAUGGUAUUAGGAAGUGGGGUCUUUGGGAGGUAAUUAGGUCAUGAUGGUGGAGCCCUUGUGAAUGUGAUCAGUGAUUUUAUAAAAGCUUGCAUACUCCCUUUUGCCAUGUGGAGACAUGAACAAAAAGACAUCUAUGAUCCUCACUAAACACUAAAUCUACUGGCACCUUGAUACUGGACUUCCCACCCUCUAGAACUGUGAGAAAUGAAUGUUUGCUGUUUAAACCACCAGUCUGUGGUAUUCCACCAUAGCAACACAGAUGUACUAAGGCAAAUGGUCCAAAAGGACCCCAUGUGAUGUGGCCCUUGACUGACAAAAUUUACCCAUCUCCUGCCCCUUCUGCGUUUCUGACUUCCCUCUGGCCACACUGACCUUCUUUCAACCCCCCAAAUGUCCCAUGCUUUUUCCAGUGUCUGAGAUGUUUUGUUUUUUUUUUAAGAUUUUUUUAUUUAUUUGCUAGAGGGAGAGAGAGAGUACAAGCAAGGGGAGUGGCAGGCAGAGGGAGAAGCAGGCUCCUCGCCAAUCAAGGAGCCCGAUGUGGGACUCGAUCCCAGGACCCUAGGAUCAUGACCUGAGCCGAAGGCAGACGCUUAACCGACUGAGCUACCCAGGCGUCCCUCCAGUGUCCGAGACGUUAAACAUGCUUUUCCUAUACUGGAAAUACCCUUUUCCCUGCUUUUAUGUAACUGACUCUUUGGAUUCUCAGCACAUAUGCAACUCUCUCAGUGAGGUCCACCCUGCUUACCUGUUCUGAGUAAGCUUUCCCCUACGAUUUACCAUGUAUCACUCUACCUUGUCUGUUUCCUUCAAAGCACUCAUCAUAAUUUGUAUUUAAUAAAUUUUUAUUUACUUGUCUAUUGACCGCCCCUUCUACUAGACUGCUAAUACCCUAAGAACAGGGAUUAUAUUUGUUUUAUUAUCUAAAGAGCUUAGUAUAAUACCUCUCACCUACUAGACUUUCAGUAUGUGUAGAAUGAAUGAAGAAAUAAAUAAAUGAAUGAGAGCCAUUAUAGAAGUAAAGUUUUCUACAAAAUUCUUGGUGAGUGAGUGAAACUAGUCAACUGCUUAGUAUCUGAAAAUUCAGUGGUGAGUGGCCAUAGUUUGCUACUUGAGACUUAAUACAGUUUAGGGAAGAAAUUAUGACCUAUAGCAAUAUUUCCAUGUCUGGAGAAUAUUAAAGGUUUUGGAAGGUAGCCUUUCAAAAUGUCAAGUGCCUAUUGUAUUGAGGUUUUUAAUGUUUUCAAAUGAUUUAAGCUAAAUUGUAUUCUCAUUAUUUACUCACAAAAUGCUUGCAUGGCCCCAAGGAAUAGAGUCAAGCCCUACAAAUGAAGACAGGGAAGUCAGCCCACGGAGACUGAAGUGGGCUGUCUGUGCACAUCUCCAAUUUUCCUAGCAUGAAACAGAAAAAAUCAUGGCAAAGUGACUCUAGAGUAGAAUUACAUAUCAGGGUGGAUUGGGACCAAACAACUUUAGCUCUGACAGUAUAGGGUUCAAUGACUCUCAACAUUCAAUGAGUUGAUAUGGUUCCUUGCAUUUCCAUGCUAUUUUCUCUGUUCUAAUAUAAUUUUUCCUCAAGUCCUAAAUAUUGCUUCUGGAGUCAUCCAGAAAAAUUAUCUAUACAAGGAUGAUAUCAAACCCUAGGCAUUUCCAAAAACAAAAACAAAAACAAAACCCCAAAACCAAAAGCGUUGUGACCUGCUAGGGAAUAGCCUCUGCCCUGCUGAUUCCUUUGAGUGACAUUUCAAAGCUGAUUACUUAGCCCUAUUCAGACAGAUAUCCCACUGCAAUCAACAUCCUUCUUGUGUCUGCCUCAGUAGGGAUUUUGCCUUAAUAAGAAAUAUAGAAUUGGGUUCUUAGUGAUAAUUAUGAUAAUAAUUUUCAAAGGACAAGUCUUUCCCUUAAUAAAUAAUCCUUCUCUAAGAGCAAGCAUCCUUGAAUCUUAUCUCUGCUGUUUUUCAAAUGAACAUUUAAAAAAAUCAAUUUUGAUACUUGAGACUGAUGCAAGGAUAAGUGGAACUCUGAGAUGACAGACUCUGCUUUUAUGUGGAUAUGAAUGUGUACCUGAUGCCAACAGUAGGGGGGAAACAAGCAAAUUUUAUUAAGGUCUUCUCUAAUCUUCCAAUACCAAAGAUAACCUCAGAUUUAUAUUCAAUAAAAUAUCCCAUCUCCAUCCUAAAGUAGCUAAUUAAAACCAACAGAGGCUACCAGAUCAAUGUAUUGCCACCAUUGUAGUUUAAUACAAGGCAGGUGGUGUUUGGAUGGCUUGAGGUGAUUUAGCCCCUAUUUCCACUCACCAUCCCUCAGUCUACCUCCAAUAAUAGACAGUUAAGUAAAAACAGAGUAUUUGCUAGGCUAUAGCUAUAAGUCCUCUGGCCUCCCUUGAAUUCACAUUGCUGCCUCUAAGCUGCUCAUAUGUGGGAAUUCUGGACCCACCACUGGAGACUGCAAUAUGGUGAGGUAGCUAAAAUUAUAUAAGAUUCUAAAGGAGUACAAAGUAAAAUAAAUGGCUGGGAGGCAGUGGGAGUACAGUAUUUUCAUGACAUUGUCUCUGUGCCCUCACAGUUUAAGGUAGAUGCCUGCAUUUCACUAUUACAAUGGUAAGAGCACUGACCAGAGUUGAGAGAGCAGAGAUCUAAUUUGGUCAUGCCACUAUUAGCUGUGGAUCUUUAUCCUAAAAUUGAAUGUAUUGUAGUUCUGCUUCUGGAAAAAUAAAAUAGGCAUUGUUUUCCUUAUAUAUCCUGUUAAAUACAACGUAAAAACCCUAGACAUUGUAUUAAAACAAACCUAAGACACUGAAAGGUGGAGAGAAGAAGACAGAUCAGCAAGAGACUUUGGGACUUAAGACGUGGUGGUGAGUUCUCUACGUUUUCUUUUAGCCUCAUAUAUCUCAGACUUGGAGUUAAAAAAGCCAACAAUAAAGGAAUGCCAGUGAGGGCAGGGGAGAAAAGCCACAACAAAGACCUGUUCUCAGUCUAGCCAAAGGAUCAGAAAAAGGCAGCCCGGCAAGACAGGAAACUUUUAGACAAUAAAAGCAAAGCAUCACAGAAAAGACUUUGGCUCCAUCCCCAUCCCUACUAGCAAAGGCUGAGUAGAAUGAGGAGCUGAGACUUCCACUCACACACCACUGUAGCAAGGUGCCACAACACCCCAGUAGGGUGAUGUGUGAGAAGGCCAAGUGGGAAGCCAGGACAUUCAUCCCUGCCAACCAGUAAUGAGCCCUCUCCCUCUCAUAUCACUGGAGACCACACGAGUCUGUAGCUCCAACCCCAUGCAGCAGUGAUAAGGCAUUCCUACCCCCUCCCUCCUGGGGUGAUGUCAGAGGAGGCCUAAAGGGGAAUCAGGACUUUUACCAUCAACCAGCAGUAACAAGGCCAUCUCCCAUGAUGUCAGUAAAGACCACAAGGGGAGCUGAAAGUCCCACCCCCUCAAGCAGUACUGAGGAUCCCCUACCAGGUGUCAGCCAAGGCUGAAUGACUACAGAGGCUACUUCCACCUGGCAGUCAUAAGGUGGUACCCUCCCCUGUCCUUGAAAGAACAGUGUUCAAGAAAGAGAGUUAAAAUAAAAGGCUUAAAUAACAUCUAGUGUCUCAUUACAAAAUACAAAAAUGUCCAGAUUUCCAUCAAAAAUUACUCAUACCAAUAACAAGGAAAAUCUAAAAUUAAAUUUAAAAAGACUCGUGGGCACCUGGGUGGCUCAGUCGGUUAAGUGUCUGAUUCUUGGUUUCAGCUCAUGUCAUGAACUCAUGGUCAUGAGAUCAAGCCCCGAAUUGGGCUCUGUGCUGGACAUGGAGCCUGCUAAGAUUCUCUCUCCCCUCUCCCUCUGCUCCUCCCCACUACACUCACUCACUCUCUCUCUCUCAAAAAAACAAAACAAAACAAAAAACCAUGAAGGUCAGAAGAAAGUGAAAAUAAAAACAUAUAUCGAAUGAAAAUAGAACAUACCAAAAUCUGUGUGACACAGCUAAAGCAAUGCUGAGAGGAAAAUUUAUAACACUCUUAGUAUGUUAAUAAAAAGAAACAGUCUCAAAUCAAUAAUAUAACAUCCCACCUCAAGAACUUGGAAAAAGGAGAGCAAAAUAAACCCAAAGAAAGCAGGAAGGAAAUAAUAAAGAGCAGAAGUUAAUGAAAUUAAAACAAAAACUAUGGGAAAAAAUGAAUUGAUCAAAAAGUUGGUUCUUUUUUUUUUAAAUUCAAGUAUAAUUAACAUACAGUGCUAUAUUAGUCUCAGGUGUACAGUAUAUUGAUUCAACAAUUCUAUACAUUUCUCAGUGCUCAUCAAGAUAAGUGUACUCUUAAUCCUCUUUAUCUGUUUCACCCCUCUACCCACCCACCUGCAUUUAAGAGUAGUUUUUUGGGGGGCGCCUGGGUGGCUCAGUUGGUUAAGCGACUGCCUUUGGCUCAGGUCAUGAUCCUGGAGUCCCGGGAUCGAGUCCCGCAUCGGGCUCCCUGCUCGGCAGGGAGUCUGCUUCUCCCUCUGACCCUCCUCCCUCUCAUGCUCUCUGUCUCU